UUUUUUUUUCUUCUUUUUUUUUUUUUUUUUUGCUUUUGCAUUGAAAUUGGUUUUACUGUGCUGAGCUCUGUGCAAAGGAGAAAAGUGAAGUUCAAAAUUCACUAACACCUGCAGAAAAUCUCUCACUGCUCUUUAACACACAAGCACCAGGACCUGACUCACAUUAUUACAACUCAAUCCACUUGAACACUAAUUGGCCUGCCUGCUUCAUGCCAGGUCUAUAAAUAGGUGAUCAGGAUGGUCAAAAUGAAUAGGGAGUGCCAAGGUCCCGAGCAGAGAACGGAAUGACAGCAUAAGAAAUGAGACCUUGGGUGAGGUGAACCUGGGUGGAUGCUCAGCAGAGGAGAAGCGCACCAGGGCUCUGGAGCCCUGAAUUACCCAAAGAAAAGCGGAGAACAAGGAUUAGGCACUGAGGGUUCAGAGAAAGCCAGAGUCCACAGGCAAAGGGGAACAGCCCCAAGGUCAUCUCCUGGACCCCUCUCCAGGGCAGCAGUCCUGUCCCCUGAGCCCAGCUCCAAACCCUGCCAGGUGACAGCACCUCUAUGUGAGCAUUUCCAGUAAUGGAGAAAUCACAGGACUAUUCACUCUAUUUCUGAACUUCCCUUAAUUGUUUAAAAGUUCUAUUAAAGUCUUCUCUUGCUUCACCCAACCACUGGUAUUAGUUUUCAAUCUGUGGCUACAAAGACAAAGUCGAAUGCGGGCAACAAGAAGGAAUUUAAAAAAAGAAAGAAAAUCAGGCAGCCACGCAAACAGAGUUUCAGGGCUGAGAAAGGGAAGGCCACCAAUGGAAAGCCUUUGUCUAAGUCAGGUUGGCACUUUCAGUACCAGGCUCAAAAGCACACCCUGAUCUGUCCUCCCUAGUCAAUGAGAACCUAUUUUCCCAUAUUUCUGCGUCUUAGAAAAAGAAACCCAGAUUUCUGAUGGAUUUGACUACAUUCUCCUCAGCUUCCUCACCUGGUCAGCCCUGACCGUUCAAACCCCACUCCCACACCCACUCAUCCAACAGAAUGGCCCCUCUCUGCCCCCUGCUAGACAUCGUUGGCCUAGAUGCUAGAGCCAAGAUCUAGGUCAGGGACUCAGAGCUGCCCAAAGGAGAUUUCACUUUUAAAAAGACGUUCCAGGCUAUCCCCGGAAUGGGACGCUGCAUCUGAUGAUACCUACUUAAGUUCUGCCCUGGCUCCUGGUUCUAAGUGAAACAACUAAAAGUUAAGUUUGUCAUUUCAGAGGGGGGAAGAAAGGAACAAGCCAGUGAGCAACAUUACCUGGUUCUGACCCAAACGGAACAUGAACAGGAGCCCCAGCGGCUGGGUCAGCACAGGCCUAAGCAAAGCCAAGAGCAGACAACUCCUGGAGAGAGUCACGCCGACAGGCAGCAAGUCUUCGGUGUCUUUUAGGGAGGGCUCUUAGCAGCAGAAGUGAUUUUUCUACUAUGCAUAAUAGAGAUGUAAAAAAGCCUGGUCUCACAAGCACCAAAAAAUCCAUCUCCAACGCAGAAGAGCCUUUCUAACAGCUGUAGAGGAGCUGAAUUCUGCACAGAAUCUAUUAUUCUGUGACAGGUGGUAGAGAGAAAAAGAAGACAGGCUAGACUUUAGCUUCAGGGCAUGAAUGGAAUACGUCCCAGUUCUGCUAUUAAGAGGUAAGACGGGGCUGCUCUACCUGGCCAGUCGCACCGGGGAAAAAAAAAAGGUGGGGGGGAGGGUGGCUUUCUUUAGAAGGAGCUCAUGUUUUCCUAACCUUUGCUUUCUGCAGGGACCUCACAAGGAGAGUGAGCACUGGGGAGUAGAUUAACCCCAAGCUAACACUGGACAGUCGGCUGUGUCACUCCUAGCCACAACGAAUCUGCUAAAAUGAAUCAAAAAUAACCCCGCCUAGCAAAGAUCAAGACAACCAAGGGAAGACAGUACUAAACCAGGUAUCUACCAGCACUGCUAACUUCUCACUCUCACCAUCGCCCUCCCGCUGCAAUUGCUCCUUGUGA
rnacentral:lncRNA from 1 species